rnacentral:rRNA from 1 species
CCGGCGAGUGGCGAACGGGUGAGUAAUGCAUCGGAACGUACCCAGUAGUGGGGGAUAACUUACCGAAAGGUAAGCUAAUACCGCAUACGCACUGAGGUGGAAAGCAGGGGACCGCAAGGCCUUGCGCUAUUGGAGCGGCCGAUGUCGGAUUAGCUAGUUGGUGGGGUAAAGGCCUACCAAGGCGACGAUCCGUAGCGGGUCUGAGAGGAUGAUCCGCCACACUGGAACUGAGACACGGUCCAGACUCCUACGGGAGGCAGCAGUGGGGAAUUUUGGACAAUGGGCGCAAGCCUGAUCCAGCCAUGCCGCGUGAGUGAAGAAGGCCUUCGGGUUGUAAAGCUCUUUCGGCCGGGAAGAAAUCGGUGAGGCUAAUAUCCUCACUGGAUGACGGUACCGGAAUAAGAAGCACCGGCUAACUACGUGCCAGCAGCCGCGGUAAUACGUAGGGUGCGAGCGUUAAUCGGAAUUACUGGGCGUAAAGCGUGCGCAGGCGGUUUUGUAAGACAGGCGUGAAAUCCCCGGGCUCAACCUGGGAACUGCGCUUGUGACUGCAAGGCUAGAGUACGGCAGAGGGGGGGGUGGAAUUCCACGUGUAGCAGUGAAAUGCGUAGAGAUGUGGAGGAACACCGAUGGCGAAGGCAGCCCCCUGGGCCGAUACUGACGCUCAUGCACGAAAGCGUGGGGAGCAAACAGGAUUAGAUACCCUGGUAGUCCACGCCCUAAACGAUGUCAACUAGGUGUUGGGUGGGUAAAACCAUUUAGUACCGUAGCUAACGCGUGAAGUUGACCGCCUGGGGAGUA